AUGGCAACUAAAGCAUAUGUUUGCCAUGACGGCAACCUAUUCAUCGUGUGUUUUUUCAUAUGUAUUCGAAUAAUUUUUUCCAUGGUUAAGUUUUAUAAGUUCUAUAGUUUAUGGGUCAUGCAAAUUUUUUGUAUACGGAUACAUAUAAUGGCACCUUUUUCUUAUACAAAGCAUGACAAGUAUAAUGAGAACAACAUGGCAAUAUUUUCACAUGCAUCUGCCAUGGCGAAUUGUGUUUCAUAUUUUUUGUGUUUACUUUAUAUACAUGACAAUUUUUCUGUUGCCAUGACAAAUAUGUUGCCAUGCCGAUUCAAUUUUUGUUGCCAUGACAUUUUAAAUCAUGUUUUUUCGUUGCCAUGGUAA
rnacentral:rRNA from 1 species